GCUCAGGUGGCGGAAUUGGUAGACGCGCUAGACUAAGGAUCUAGUGCCGNAAGGCGUGGGGGUUCGAGUCCCCCCUUGAGCACCA
rnacentral:tRNA from 1 species